AUUGAACGCUGGCGGAAUGCUUUACACAUGCAAGUCGAACGGCAGCACGGACUUCGGUCUGGUGGCGAGUGGCGAACGGGUGAGUAAUGUAUCGGAACGUGCCCAGUCGUGGGGGAUAACGUAGUGAAAAUUACGCUAAUACCGCAUACGAUCUAUGGAUGAAAGCGGGGGAUCGCAAGACCUCGCGCGAUUGGAGCGGCCGAUAUCAGAUUAGGUAGUUGGUGGGGUAAAGGCCCACCAAGCCAACGAUCUGUAGCUGGUCUGAGAGGACGACCAGCCACACUGGAACGGAGACACGGCCCAGACUCCUACGGGAGGCAGCAGUGGGGAAUUUUGGACAAUGGGCGAAAGCCUGAUUCAGCCAUUCCGCGUGCAGGAUGAAGGCCCUCGGGUUGUAAACUGCUUUUGUACAGAACGAAAAGGUUUCUACUAAUACUAGGAGCUCAUGACGGUACCUGCAGAAUAAGCACCGGCUAACUACGUGCCAGCAGCCGCAGUAA
rnacentral:rRNA from 1 species